rnacentral:misc_RNA from 1 species
AAGUCGUAACAAGGUUUCCGUAGGUGAACCUGCGGAAGGAUCAUUAAUAAUAGCGGGUCCUCUCGAAUCAUAGGAUGUCUGAACCCUUGAAUACUUAACUUUGUUGCUUUGGUGGGCCGCCCUUCGGGCGUCGGCCAUGGCUGACUGUGCCUGCCAGAGGACCACAACUCUUUGUUUUGUGAUGUCUGAGCACUAUAAAAUAUUUAAAA